rnacentral:rRNA from 1 species
GGUGAACGCUAGCGGCAGGCUUAAUACAUGCAAGUCGAGGGGCAGCAUGAUUGUAGCAAUACAAUUGAUGGCGACCGGCAAACGGGUGCGGAACACGUACACAACCUUCCAACAAGUGGGGGAUAGCCCAGAGAAAUUUGGAUUAAUACCCCGUAACAUAGCGAUGUGGCAUCACAUUGCUAUUAUAGAUUUUUCGCUUGUUGAUGGGUGUGCGGCUGAUUAGAUAGUUGGCGGGGUAACGGCCCACCAAGUCUACGAUCAGUAGCUGAUGUGAGAGCAUGAUCAGCCACACGGGCACUGGGACACGGGCCCGACUCCUACGGGAGGCAGCAGUAAGGAAUAUUGGACAAUGGACGCAAGUCUGAUCCAGCCAUGCCGCGUGAAGGAUUAAGGUCCUCUGGAUUGUAAACUUCUUUUAUAAGGGACGAAAAAAGGCUUUUCUAAGUCGUCUGACGGUACCUUAUGAAUAAGCACCGGCUAACUCCGUGCCAGCAGCCGCGGUAAGAC